UGCGUAGGCGGAAUAUUAAGUCAGUGGUGAAAUCCUGCGGCUCAACCGUAGAACUGCCAUUGAUACUGAUAUUCUUGAAUGUAGUUGAGGUAGGCGGAAUGUGUAAUGUAGCGGUGAAAUGCUUAGAUAUUACACAGAACACCGAUUGCGAAGGCAGCUUACUAAACUAUGAUUGACGCUGAGGCACGAAAGCGUGGGGAGCGAACAGGAUUAGAUACCCUGGUAGUCCA
rnacentral:rRNA from 1 species